rnacentral:rRNA from 1 species
AUGAACGCAGAUGACGACAAGUCUGUUGGGUCUGCACUUACCCGUCAAGUUGAUGGCAUAAGUCAGAUUUUUGUAAAAGAUAUUGAUGGCCAAAAAAUGAACCACCCCUGUUCUUUGCACUACUACAAUGGAUUUAUCAAAUUGGGUAACAAAAUUGAGAAUUUGGAGUCAAUUGAUGUAACUGUAUUGGGCUUCAUAGAUACUGAAAUUGGAAAGAUUCAUUAUGACAAUCUCGCAAAUUUUGAUCAUCCUGGGAUAAUUGAAGCUUUCGCAUAUGGGGUUGGCAAAGGACAGCACUCAAAUAACUCCUUUCUGGCUGUCACAAAAUUUGAAACAACAUUUGAAGGAUACCUUCGGAGGGAUGGUCUAUUGGCGACUGAUCAGCAAAACCGAUUCACUGAGAGCUUCAUAAACUUGCUGAGGGAUGUCAUUGUAGCCAUGGAGGAGCUGCAUCGUCAAGGCUAUUAUUGCGCAAAGUUUCAUGGAAGUCAUUUUGCAAUCAUAAACGAAGGCGGUUCACAAAGGGCGAGAUUGUGGAGGUUUGGUAAAAUUAAAGGAGAUACUGAAGCAGCAAUAAGCGAGUCCAAAGCUAACGAUUGGGUAAGGUUGGGAUACAAGAUUGAGAAUGUAUCGCUAGCCCCAGAGUCUAAAGAUCUUUUUAAGAGAAUUAUCGACAGAAAACUGCAAGGGAGAAACAUCCUAAAGCAUUAUGCCUUGUUAACUGUCAGAGAAAAGUUUGAGAAUAUUUUAUCCUUGAACCAAUAUAUAGCACUCCACUUGAAGGAACCACAAAUGGAACGUGAACAUCUGAUAGUGUCUAAUCUGAGUCUACAAACAUUGGAGGAGAAUUUGGAUAAAAUACAUGUUUGGAACAUGCUUUCCUUUGUACAAUUAACACGCGUCAGAAAAACAUUAAGGGGCUUCAUAUACUCCUUGAGAACAAUCAUUGAACAUGAAGUUCAGUUCCUUACACCCGAGUUGCUGGCAGAAGGAAUAUUCAAGGAUCUUGAACACUAUUUUCAACACGAAUGGAAAUUAUUAUACCAGAAAGUGCAAGAGAUUGCAAUGGAAUUGAAUUUGAAAUAUUGA